ensembl:sense_intronic Gm13096 predicted gene 13096
UGAAAAAGCAAGAGGUUUAUUUUCAGGCCUGUCGGGGUCGACCUUCAAUUAGUCCCUCAAGGAGAGUUACUAAGAAAGCCACACCAAAUGGCUAUUACAAGCAGUUUUUAUACUUUUUAGGAGCACAGGUUCAUCAGCAAGAUUACAGUUCCAACUUAUUGGCUAAGCAUAUGAUCACUACAUCUAUUGGCUGGCAGGCACGACAGGAACUUGAACUCUACCUGGGACUUUUCGGACGGUCACUUAACUAU